UUAAUUUUCGAAUCUUUUCAUUAGCUCCUAAAUUCUCAUUGCCCGAACUCCCUAUCUGAUCAGUGACAACAAACUCAAUAUCCUUGUUGGCCAUAACUUUCUCUGUGAAUUGGUGCAAUAUAGAGGACCAGCCAAAAUUCCACAAACCAACCACCUUAAACUAACUGGACAAGAGAUAGCAAAUGCGUUAGAAUUCAACACUUUUUUUUCAAAACCUUUUUUUUUUCUUUUUGAAAAGGUCACUGAACCCAAGAGGGGCGCCUACGUAUCUCACUCCCGAGAGAGGAGAACCAAGUGUGCGUAAUUCGUGAAGUCUUGCCAAAAUAUCCAAUUAAUUCUUUUUCCUUUCUUUUUUCCUUUUUCUUGAAACUUUAAAAAGAAAAGGAAAUAACAAAUUGUCAAAAGAAUUGACGAAUUUUUUUAUUUUUUUUUGCGUUUUCAAGUUUAAACUCCCUAUACAAAAUGAAACAUAUGAUUGCCAAAGAAAAAUCUUUUUGGGCUUUCGAUUUUGAAUUUCAUAUGAAAAUGAAACUUAAAACUAUUAAAGAAAAAAUAUAUUUGUAGUUUUCUUUUAAAGAUGUAUAUGAAAUACCUACUCUAAUAAAGAGUGAAGAAAAUCUUUUUUUUUGAAUUUUUCAAAUAAGAUCCCCGAACCAACAAUAGGCUGCCUACGUAUCUCACUCCCGAAAGAGGAGAAUCAAGGGUGUGUAGUUCUUCCAGAUUGGAUAAUUAAUGAUUAAAUAACAAGCUAGACUCUGACUUAAAAGAUACUACCAAAGACAGACGAUGAACCAAGUUAAUAAAAUCUUUUGAGUUUUCAUUUUGACACUUCACAGAAAAAUGACAUCAACAACUUUGAAAGAAAAAUCUAUUUGGUAUUUUCGUUAUAUGAAAUGUACAAAAUUUCUACCAUCUUAUUUUGCAUUUUUCUUUUAUAAAAACUCCUAUGAAUGAAAAAUCUUUUUUGAAUUUUUCGAAUUGUGAAUGCAUGCUAAACGAGACAAAGAAAAAUCUUUUUGAUAUUUUUAUUUUUGAGAAAUGAGUUCAAAAGGUAAAAAUAUUUUUGAAUUUUUAGAUUGUGACGAACAAAAGCCAUAAAAAAGCUCUAAAAAAACUAUGAACUCUUUUUGUUUUAUUCGCAUUUUCUAUUUUUUUCCUUUUUUUUCGAUUUUACAUGCCCACACACUUUACUUCUAACACAUGCUUUCCCCCACACCAGUCUGUUAAAUGACCACGUUACCCUCAAAGAUGCAACAUUUAGCACAUAGAAAUGCUUUAGAGGUGAGUCUUCUACAAAGGACCAAGUGGAUCCCGCUAGGUCUCAAUAUGAUGCAAAUAAGCAUGACCUAAAGGCUGACCUACACUGGGGUUCACUAACAAGACUGUUUGGGGGAGCGUAUGGUCGAUAGUGGCUGCUUUGGCUAUCCACUUACUCAAUACCAGCUGACAGCUUCCCAUCCUAAAAUAAGGGUGACUCAACUAUAGGUCGUGUACAUAGCGUGUACUACAGAACUUGUUACAGAAAGAAUGACUCGGGUUAUUUACAUGAUGUCAGAUAUAAAGCGGUAAAACAUAAAUAAAAACUGUAAACAAAGAGCACAUGGACACUCAACAAUGAUAAACAAUAACACAAAACAACACAAACAAAAUGUCUAUACACCUAUAAUGCCAAACUAAGCCGAUACAACUCUAAAAUAAGCUCGAAUUUAAAAAAAAUCCCCAACAGAGUUGCCAGAGCUGUCACACCCCUUUUUUACAAUCGAAAGAUAUGAUUUUAAGUGUGAAAAGAUUUUUAUUAUUAAAGUGAAAUAAAUGAAGAUUUAUUUUCGAAAAGGAUUAUUUACAUUCCAAACUCAGUGUCGCCACUUGGCAUAAAUCUUGUGUGCGAAGUCACCUUUGGAAAUCUUUUUAUGAAAAAUGAUUUUUGACUUUGACACUGAUCCGCGAACAGAGAUUCAAACUAAGGAAUUCUGUUGACUGAGGAAAAGGUGUUAGGGGUCCGUCGAUCCCGUAGUUCGACCCCGAUCGCUUGGGAGAAUGUAUUGGUUAAUUUGACACUACAGAUGUACGAAUCACACAAAAACACGUACAAAAAUCACACAAACAAACAAAAUAAAAUGAAUAAAAAUAUAGUCCGAGUUAUACAGUCCAAAAAUAAAAAAUACUAAAAUAUAAAUUCUAUUCUAGAUUAAUCUUAAACUAUGCUUCAAUGUUUUACGUGAUGCCGCGGGCCUUCAUCAGGACCAUCUUCCACCAACAUGAUAUGACGGGGCAUUCUCCGGUGAAUAAAUACAAUGAGCCUUGGGGCAUUCCCCGACUAAAUGAAUACAUUUGAAUUAAAUACGAUAAACUAGAAACAAACAUUCACACGCACAUUUAAACAUUCAAAACAUUCAAUAAACAAAUUACUCCUAAAUUUUUGCCUACCCGAGCCUAUAUUGCCUAUCCAUUUCAAUAGGUCAUAAAUCUAUCACAUUCAUACUUAUUCAGAAUUAAACAACAAUAAACCAAAGUUAAUCUACAUUUCACUUAUCAAUUUCUCCAUUCCGUCCCAACUUUCCUUUUAACACUAAAUUUUCACAAUUAACGAUUUCUAUUUCAACGAUCUACAACUACUCUUCAACAAAAUUAAGUAACAAGUCAAUAUCAAAGUAGCAAUUCAUUAUGAAUCAAGAUCAAACAACACCCGAUAUUCCAUUUAAUGUACCAUAUUCCAUCAACAAUGAAAUAAAAAGAGGAAAGAGAUAGAAAUAGACCCCAUAUUGCAUCAACAAUGAAAUAAAAAGAGGAAAAGGUAGAAAUGUACCUCAAUUGAAGCUUUUAUUAUGCCAAAUUAUAUGACCAAAAGUCGAGAUCGCAUCUGAAAACUUCAAUCGAACCCCAAUACAAACUAAUUUCCAACCUCGAUCGACUCCAUUGUUUUGCCAACAGAAACCAGAAUCAAAAUUGAGGAAGACUCAGACCCGUUUGCAUCAUUUUUCGGUCGGAAUCCACGUUGGAUUUAUCGCCGAAACUCUAGCAUAAUCGGGACGCCGGAAAUGGACCUCUCUUAGUCUCCCUCUGAUUUUUCUCUCUUUUCUAUGGUGCUUAUUUGUAUAUGGCUCUCUUAUCUUCUCCGAUCCUCUCUUCUCUCUCGUCGUCUCUCUCGAUUACUCCAAUCACACGCUCAGCUCUCCAUUUUCAGUAUGUGUAGUGUUCUUUCUGUGUAAUCAAUGGAUAAAAAUGGGGAGGGUGUGAGGUUGUGUUCAGGGUGAGUAUGAGCGUUAAUCUAUGUGUAUGGCAGUGAGGUGAGUGAUUUAUGUGUAAAUGGGCAAAGAAAAAUGGAGUGUCUAUGGUCUGUGUAUCAGUGAGGAUGACGGUGAGAAUUGUGUGUUCAAAAUAGUCAGGAUUUUUUUGUGUAUAUGGCGUGAUCUGUGUGUUUUGCCGUGGAUGGGAGUAUCUAUGAAGUGUGUCAUGGAUGAGAGAGGCCUCCCACUCUCUCAAGGGACUGUGUUUGUGUAUAUAAUUCUCUGUGAUGGUGCUGGUCCAGAGGAAAAAAAAUGGCGUGAGGUGUCUGCGUGCAUUCAAUUAAAAAAAAUAGAAUUCCGUGG
rnacentral:lncRNA from 1 species